UGACGUUUCUUGCUGCAGCAUAAAAUUACAUACGGAUAUGCGUGCGUUUGUGUGAGUGUCAAUAAUAUGAGUAAAGAAACAGAUGAUCGUUGUAAUGUUGUAUUUGUUGUUUGUUUACUAAGUACAUAAGCGAUGUAAAGUCUCCAUCAUGAAAUAUGUGUAGUUUGUUGCGCUGUAAGUGAAAGUUAUUAACGAGUUUGUAGACAUGUUUGAUCGUAUAAUUGUGAAUAUUACAGAUUAAGUCAAGUGAACCAUUUAUGUUCUCCGGAGGAGAUUGAAUUUGUAGUGAUACUUACCGACUCUUGCUCAUCACCAGAGGCGUAGCUAGGGAGUGUUUGGGAAAGUGGAAAACUAAAUUUUGAGUUUAUUGGAAAUAUACUCCAAAAUUGUUUUCUUUGCACCCGGAGGGUGCAACA